rnacentral:rRNA from 1 species
GGACUACCGGGGUAUCUAAUCCUGUUUGCUACCCACGCUUUCGUGUCUCAGCGUCAGGAAUCGUCCAGAAAGCCGUCUACACCACAGGUGUUCCUUCUGAUAUCUACGCAUUUCACCGCUACACCAGAAAUUCCACUUUCCUCUCCGAUCCUCAAGCAUCGCAGUCUUCGGCGCACCCUCCCAGUUAAGCCGGGAGAUUUCACGCCAAACUUACGACACCGCCUACACACUCUUUACGCCCAGUAAUUCCGAACAACGCUUGCUGCCUACGUAUUACCGCGGCUGCUGGCAC